rnacentral:rRNA from 1 species
GACGAACGCUGGCGGCGUGCUUAACACAUGCAAGUCGAACGGAAAGGCCCUGCUUUUGUGGGGUGCUCGAGUGGCGAACGGGUGAGUAACACGUGAGUAACCUGCCCUUGACUUUGGGAUAACUUCAGGAAACUGGGGCUAAUACCGGAUAGGAGCUCCUGCUGCAUGGUGGGGGUUGGAAAGUUUCGGCGGUUGGGGAUGGACUCGCGGCUUAUCAGCUUGUUGGUGGGGUAGUGGCUUACCAAGGCUGUGACGGGUAGCCGGCCUGAGAGGGUGACCGGCCACAUUGGGACUGAGAUACGGCCCAGACUCCUACGGGAGGCAGCAGUGGGGAAUAUGGCACAAUGGGAGGAAGCCUGAUGCAGCAACGCCGCGUGCGGGAUGACGGCCUUCGGGUUGUAAACCGCUUUCGCCUGUGACGAAGCGUGAGUGACGGUAAUGGGUAAAGAAGCACCGGCUAACUACGUG